rnacentral:rRNA from 1 species
ACGGAAGGCAGCAGUGGGGAAUAUUGCACAAUGGGGGGAACCCUGAUGCAGCGACGCCGCGUGAGUGAAGACGUAUUUCGGUAUGUAAAGCUCUAUCAGCAGGGAAGAUGAUGACGGUACCUGACUAAGAAGCACCGGCUAACUACGUGCCAGCAGCCGCGGUAAUACGUAUGGUGCAAGCGUUAUCCGGAUUUACUGGGUGUAAAGGGAGCGUAGGCGGCUAUGCAAGUCAGGUGUGAAAACCCGGGGCUCAACUCCGGGACUGCACUUGGAACUGUGAAGCUCGAGUACGGGAGAGGCAAGUGGAAUUCCUAGUGUAGCGGUGAAAUGCGUAGAUAUUAGGAAGAACACCAGUGGCGAAGGCGACUUGCUGGACCGCAACUGACGCUGAGGCUCGAAAGCGUGGGGAGCAAACAGGAUUAGAUACCCUGGUA